rnacentral:rRNA from 1 species
GACGAACGCUGGCGGCGUGCUUAACACAUGCAAGUCGAACGGAAAGGCGAUGCUUUGGUGGGGUGCUCGAGUGGCGAACGGGUGAGUAACACGUGAGUAACCUGCCCUUAACUUUGGGAUAACUGCAGGAAACUGGGGCUAAUACCGGAUAGGCGCUCCUGCUGCCUGGUGGGGGUGGGAAAGUUUCGGCGGUUGGGGGUGGACUCGCGGCUUAUCAGAUUAUAGGUGGGGUAGUGGCUGACCAAGGCUUCGACGGGUAGCCGGCCUGAGAGGGGGACCGGCAACAUUGGGACUGGGAUACGGCACAGCCCCCUAUGGGAGGCAGCAGUGGGGAGUAUUACACAAUGGGAGGGAGCCUGAUGCAGCAACGCUGCGUGCGGUAUGAGGAGCUUCGGGUUGUAAACCGCUUUCGCCUGUGACGUAGCGAGAGUGACGGUAAUGGAUAAAGAAGCGCCGGCUAACUACGUG